AUCUUGGCCAGGUCACAGUUGUAAAUGAGAACUUGUUCUCAACUGGCCUACAAAGGUGAAAUAAAAAAUGUAAUUAAUAAAAAUCUGUUUUCCAAAUGGCUCACCCCGUUCAUCCCUCCACUACCACCCCAUUCAGACAUCAGUUGUCCCUCCACUACCACCCCGUUCAGACAUCAGUUGUCCCUCCACUACCACCCCGUUCAUCCCUCCACUACCAUCCCGUUCAUCCCUCCACUACCACCCCGUUCAUCCCUCCACUACCACCCCAUUCAGACAUCAGUUGUCCCUCCAAUACCACCCCGUUCAUCCCUCCAC
rnacentral:lncRNA from 13 species